GAUGAACGCUGGCGGCGUGCCUAAUACAUGCAAGUCGAGCGAAUGGAUUAAGAGCUUGCUCUUAUGAAGUUAGCGGCGGACGGGUGAGUAACACGUGGGUAACCUGCCCAUAAGACUGGGAUAACUCCGGGAAACCGGGGCUAAUACCGGAUAACAUUUUGAACCGCAUGGUUAGAAAUUGAAAGGCGGCUUCGGCUGUCACUUGUGGAUGGACCCGCGUCGCAUUAGCUAGUUGGGGAGGUAACGGCUCACCAAGGCAACGAUGCGUAGCCGACCUGGGAGGGUGAUCGGCCACACUGGGACUGAGACACGGCCCAGACUCCUACGGGAGGCAGCAGUAGGGAAUCUUCCGCAAUGGACGAAAGUCUGACGGAGCAACGCCGCGUGAGUGAUGAAGGCUUUCGGGUCGUAAAACUCUGUUGUUAGGGAAGAACAAGUGCUAGUUGAAUAAGCUGGCACCUUGACGGUACCUAACCAGAAAGCCACGGCUAACUACGUGCCAGCCGCCGCCGUAA
rnacentral:rRNA from 1 species